UACGAAGGGUGCAAACGUUGCUCGGAAUUAUUGGGCGUAAAGCGCACGUAGGCGGCUUGGCAAGUCGGAUGUGAAAUCCCUCGGCUUAACCGGGGAACUGCGUCUGAUACUGGAUGGCUAGAGAUUGGGAGAGGGAUGCGGAAUUCCAGGUGUAGCGGUGAAAUGCGUAGAUAUCUGGAGGAACACCGGUGGCGAAGGCGGCAUCCUGGACCAACACUGACGCUGAGGAGCGAAAGCCAGGGGAGCAAACGGG
rnacentral:rRNA from 1 species